GAAUUCGCCCUUAGAGUUUGCUUCUGGCUCAGGACGAACGCUGGCGGCGUGCUUAACACAUGCAAGUCGAGCGGAGACAGAAGACUUCGGUUUUCUGUUUUAGCGGCGGACGGGUGAGUAACGCGUGAGCAAUCUGUCCCAGACAGGGGGAUAACACUUGGAAACAGGUGCUAAUACCGCAUAAGACCACGAUGCCACAUGGCGUUGAGGUAAAAGGAGCAAUCCGGUUUGGGGUGAGCUCGCGUCCGAUUAGCUAGUUGGUGAGGUAACGGCCCACCAAGGCGACGAUCGGUAGCCGACCUGAGAGGGUGAUCGGCCACAUUGGAACUGAGAAACGGUCCAAACUCCUACGGGAGGCAGCAGUGGGGAAUAUUGGGCAAUGGGCGAAAGCCUGACCCAGCAACGCCGCGUGAGGGAAGAAGGUUUUCGGAUUGUAAACCUCUGUCCUAAGUGACGAAGGAAGUGACGGUAGCUUAGGAGGAAGCCCCGGCUAACUACGUGCCAGCAGCCGCGGUAAUACGUAGGGGGCAAGCGUUGUCCGGAAUGACUGGGUGUAAAGGGAGUGUAGGCGGGAUUUUAAGUCAGAAGUGAAAAUUACGGGCUCAACUCGUAACCUGCUUUUGAAACUGAAAUUCUUGAGUGAAGUAGAGGCAAGCGGAAUUCCUAGUGUAGCGGUGAAAUGCGUAGAUAUUAGGAGGAACACCAGUGGCGAAGGCGGCUUGCUGGGCUUUUACUGACGCUGAGGCUCGAAAGCGUGGGGAGCAAACAGGAUUAGAUACCCUGGUAGUCCACGCCGUAAACGAUGA
rnacentral:rRNA from 1 species